rnacentral:rRNA from 1 species
GAUGAACGCUGGCGGCGUGCCUAAUACAUGCAAGUCGAGCGAGCAGAACCAGCAGAUUUACUUCGGUAAUGACGCUGGGGACGCGAGCGGCGGAUGGGUGAGUAACACGUGGGGAACCUGCCCCAUAGUCUGGGAUACCACUUGGAAACAGGUGCUAAUACCGGAUAAUAAAGCAGAUCGCAUGAUCAGCUUAUAAAAGGCGGCGUAAGCUGUCGCUAUGGGAUGGCCCCGCGGUGCAUUAGCUAGUUGGUAAGGUAACGGCCUACCAAGGCAAUGAUGCAUAGCCGAGUUGAGAGACUGAACGGCCACAUUGGGACUGAGACACGGCCCAAACUCCUACGGGAGGCAGCAGUAGGGAAUCUUCCACAAUGGACGCAAGUCUGAUGGAGCAACGCCGCGUGAGUGAAGAAGGUUUUCGGAUCGUAAAGCUCUGUUGUUGGUGAAGAAGGAUAGAGGUAGUAACUGGCCUUUAUUUGACGGUAAUCAACCAGAAAGUCACGGCUAACUACGUGCCAGCAGCCGCGGUAAUACGUAGGUGGCAAGCGUUGUCCGGAUUUAUUGGGCGUAAAGCGAGCGCAGGCGGAAGAAUAAGUCUGAUGUGAAAGCCCUCGGCUUAACCGAGGAAUUGCAUCGGAAACUGUUUUUCUUGAGUGCAGAAGGAGGAGAGUGGAACUCCAUGUGUAGCGGUGGAAUGCGUAGAUUAUAUGGAAGAACACCAGUGGCGAAGGCGGCUCUCUGGUCUGCAACUGACGCUGAGGCUCGAAAGCAUGGGUAGCGAACAGGAUUAGAUACCCUGGUAGUCCAUGCCGUAAACGAUGAGUGCUAAGUGUUGGGAGGUUUCCGCCUCUCAGUGCUGCAGCUAACGCAUUAAGCACUCCGCCUGGGGAGUACGACCGCAAGGUUGAAACUCAAAGGAAUUGACGGGGGCCCGCACAAGCGGUGGAGCAUGUGGUUUAAUUCGAAGCAACGCGAAGAACCUUACCAGGUCUUGACAUCUAGUGCCAUCCUAAGAGAUUAGGAGUUCCCUUCGGGGACGCUAAGACAGGUGGUGCAUGGCUGUCGUCAGCUCGUGUCGUGAGAUGUUGGGUUAAGUCCCGCAACGAGCGCAACCCUUAUUAUUAGUUGCCAGCAUUAAGUUGGGCACUCUAAUGAGACUGCCGGUGACAAACCGGAGGAAGGUGGGGAUGACGUCAAGUCAUCAUGCCCCUUAUGACCUGGGCUACACACGUGCUACAAUGGGCAGUACAACGAGAAGCGAACCUGCGAAGGCAAGCGAAUCUCUGAAAGCUGUUCUCAGUUCGGACUGCAGUCUGCAACUCGACUGCACGAAGCUGGAAUCGCUAGUAAUCGCGGAUCAGAACGCCGCGGUGAAUACGUUCCCGGGCCUUGUACACACCGCCCGUCACACCAUGGAAGUCUGCAAUGCCCAAAGCCGGUGGCCUAACCUUCGGGAAGGAGCCGUCUAAGGCAGGGCAGGUGACUGGGGUG